rnacentral:rRNA from 1 species
CCCUUUGGGUGUGACUGCGUACCUUUUGUAUAAUGGGUCAGCGACUUAUAUUCUGUAGCAAGGUUAACCGAAUAGGGGAGCCGGAGGGAAACCGAGUCUUAAUUGGGCGUUAAGUUGCAGGGUAUAGACCCGAAACCCGGUGAUCUAGCCAUGGGCAGGUUGAAGGUUGGGUAACACUAACUGGAGGACCGAACCGACUAAUGUUGAAAAAUUAGCGGAUGACCUGUGGCUGGGGGUGAAAGGCCAAUCAAACCGGGAGAUAGCUGGUUCUCCGCGAAAGCUAU